GAAAUACCACCCUUUAAUGUUUGAUGUUCUAACGUUGGCCCGUAAUCCGGGUUGCGGACAGUGUCUGGUGGGUAGUUUGACUGGGGCGGUCUCCUCCUAAAGAGUAACGGAGGAGCACGAAGGUUGGCUAAUCCUGGUCGGACAUCAGGAGGUUAGUGCAAUGGCAUAAGCCAGCUUGACUGCGAGCGUGACGGCGCGAGCAGGUGCGAAAGCAGGUCAUAGUGAUCCGGUGGUUCUGAAUGGAAGGGCCAUCGCUCAACGGAUAAAAGGUACUCCGGGGAUAACAGGCUGAUACCGCCCAAGAGUUCAUAUCGACGGCGGUGUUUGGCACCUCGAUGUCGGCUCAUCACAUCCUGGGGCUGAAGUAGGUCCCAAGGGUAUGGCUGUUCGCCAUUUAAAGUGGUACGCGAGCUGGGUUUAGAACGUCGUGAGACAGUUCGGUCCCUAUCUGCCGUGGGCGCUGGAGAACUGAGGGGGGCUGCUCCUAGUACGAGAGGACCGGAGUGGACGCAUCACUGGUGUUCGGGUUGUCAUGCCAAUGGCACUGCCCGGUAGCUAAAUGCGGAAGAGAUAAGUGCUGAAAG
rnacentral:rRNA from 1 species